rnacentral:lncRNA from 1 species
GUUGUAGUAUGAGUAAACAACCAACUCCUAUAACUCGCGAGUGAGAUGCAAUCACUCGACUUUUACCGAGUCCUAUGUAGCACAGCAACUACUUGACCUUUGCAACUAGUGUUCAGAUCAAGGGUACUAAGUUCAUGCAUCUACAGUUUCAAUCAACUCCUACAAAUGUAAAUGCACAAUCAUAAGCGUCAACAUAUUGCAUAAAUUUAAAACAGGGAAGCAUGCACUGGGGCUUAC